rnacentral:rRNA from 1 species
GACGAACGCUGGCGGCGUGCUUAACACAUGCAAGUCGAACGGAAAGGCCCUGCUUUUGUGGGGUGCUCGAGUGGCGAACGGGUGAGUAACACGUGAGUAACCGGCCCUUGACUUUGGGAUAACUUCAGGAAACUGGGGCUAAUACCGGAUAGGAGCUCCUGCUGCAUGGUGGGGGUUGGAAAGUUUCGGCGGUUGGGGAUGGACUCGCGGCUUAUCAGCUUGUUGGUGGGGUAGUGGCUUACCAAGGCUUUGACGGGUAGCCGGCCUGAGAGGGUGACCGGCCACAUUGGGACUGAGAUACGGCCCAGAGUCCUACGGGAGGCAGCAGGGGGGAAUAUUGCACAAUGGUCGGAAGCCUGAUGCAGCAACGCCGCGUGCGGGAUGACGGCCAUCGGGUUGUAAACCGCUUUCGCCUGUGACGAAGCGUGAGUGACGGUAAUGGGUAAAGAAGCACCGGCUAACUACGUG